AUGGCUCUUUGGUAAUAUCUUAUGAAGAGUCUAGCCUGCCCAGUGAUUAAAUUUAACGGCCGCGGUACUCUGACCGUGCGAAGGUAGCAUAAUCAUUUGUCUUAUAAUUGAAGUCUAGAAUGAAUGGUUUAACAAGAGUAAAGCUGUCUCUAUAUAUUUUAUAUAAUUUUAUGAUUAAGUUAAAAAGCUUAAAUUAAAUUAAAAGACGAGAAGACCCUAUCGAGCUUUAGGAAAAUAAUGAAUUUUUUAACAUUGAUGAAUACUAAAUAUUUAAUAAAACUUUAGUUGGGGCGAUUCAGGAACAAAUAAAGCUUCUUGUCAGUAAGUUAAAUUGAUAGAUAUAGGAUCCAUAAUUUAUGAUCAAAAGAAUUAGUUACCGUAGGGAUAACAGCAUUAUCUUUUUUGAGAGCUCAAAUCGAAAAAAAUGUUUGUGACCUCGAUGUUGGACCAAGAUAACCUAAAAGUGUAGAAGUUUUUAAGGGUUGGUCUGUUCGACCAUUAAAAUCUUACGUGAUCUGAGUUCAGACCGG
rnacentral:rRNA from 1 species